rfam:Eimeria tenella Houghton genomic scaffold, Eth_scaff11
GCCAUCAUAGCUUAGUGGUAGAGCAUCGGUCUUGUAAACCGAAGGUCGUGGGUUCGAUUCCCAUUGGUGGCU